CUGCGGAAGGAUCAUUCGCAC
rnacentral:rRNA from 1 species